rnacentral:tRNA from 1 species
GGCCGUGGCUCAGUGGUAGAGCACUCGCCUAGCAUGAGUAAGGCACUGGGUUCGAUUCUCAGCACCA